rnacentral:misc_RNA from 1 species
AUGCUGAAAGGAAUGUUAGAUACUGUGAAAUUGCGGAUUUUCCUAUUUCUAACAUCGUUUGAGCUACUGGAAACAGGGAGUACAUUUUUGACUCAACAAUGGAGAAAUUGUGAUCAAAAUUUGUUCAAUGAAUAUUUGAAAACUUACAAAAAUGGAGGAUAUUCGCAGUUUGAGCAAUUUCAAUUUGAAAUAGUCUACAUACCUCAUCUAUGUAUGUACACCUCGGACCCUCCUUCUGCUGAUGUGCGUGCCCAUCUUCUCAUAAAUAAUGUUUUCCGGAAAUUCGCAUCUUCUUCUCCAUCACUUUCAUAUUCCUUAUCUCAUUUUCUUCAUUCAAAAUGGCAGAGAAUGUAUCGACGACUUCAUCAGCUCGUCGAGAAACUUUUGGUGGAAUUGUAUUCAGGAUAUAUGCACUUCGAGGAUGGAUGCAACGAGCUCAAAAGCGGCUUCAUCUAUUUCGAAAGAAUGACGUGGAUAUUGAGACCAAUUUCAGAGAAGCGUUGAGAGAAGAACAAGAAGAUGACGAGAAAAGUUCCGGUUUCAUGUCAUUUACCGUUGAUGAACAUUCGAAUACUUUUUAUCUAUGGACUGGGCUUGUCAGUUUGGUUGCUCUCCAUCCCCUUGUCUUCACAGCUUUAUCGGUUUUUCAAGAUGUUCAUCCAUUUCUUCGAAACACAGGACCUUUGAAUCUUUUACUUGAUCUUGUUAAUAUAUUGGAUUUGAUAGCACAUACAAGAAUUGAAUAUGUAGAAAAUGGAGUUGCGGUCAAGAAUUUGUCAAAGCUUAUGCAUCAUAGAUUGAAAUCAACAUUCUUCAUAUUAGAUGUCAUCGCAGUGGUUCCUGCCGAGUCAUUGCACAUUUUUGGAGACAGUUUCUUCUGGUCAAGAAUCAAUCGGCUGACUAAGUGCUACCGCCUAUUCGAUUUCUCAACUCAAACGGACACCCGCACGACAUCUCCUCACGCUUUUGGGCUAUUUAAGCUCAUUUUCAUUUGCGUUGUGAUUUUCCAUUGGAAUGGAUGUCUUUACUUUUACAUAAGUAAAGUCUAUAAUUAUACAACGGCUCGGCUUGAGCACUGGAUAUUCUCCUACGAUAAAAUAAUCAAUCCAAUACUUGCAACAUGUGUGACCGAUAUUCCGAAUCACAGAGAUUUCUGCGAUACUGAUGACCUCCUUAUCACUCAUCUACCAGAGAAUGAGGUUCAGUUUACGGUCACUGAUUAUAUGACAACUUGGGAAAAUAAAACUACCACCAUAAAGUUUGCCAACUUUUUCCGCCAAUACGCUUUGAGCUUCUACUGGUCUGCACUGACUCUGGUGACACUUGGAGAACAGCCAUCACCUUGUACAACUUUUCAAAAUGCAUUUGAAAUUGGGGAUACCCUCCUGGGUCUUGUCAUUUUUGCGGUAAUUGUUGGAGAUGUCGGUAAUAUGGUGGUGGCGAUUAAUUUGAGAAAGUCAGAGUUUGAGAAUGUUCUCGAUGGAUGUAAAAGAUUCAUGGUUUAUAGAAAAGUACCAAAUCUUCUCCGCAAAAAAGCUGUCGAAUACUUUGCCUAUGUGUGGGCUCAUGGCGGGGCUCAAGUUGAUGAAGAGGAAAUUGCCGAGUUUCUGCCUCCGCGGUUAUUUGGAGAAAUUGCAGUGGAGAUUCAUAUGGACACUUUGAAGAAAGUCAAGCUUUUCGAGAGUUGCGAUCCGCGGCUAUUGUAUGAGCUAAUUUUGAAGUUGCAGCUCCGAGUAUACAGCCCAAUGGAUUAUAUCUGCAAAAAGGGAGAUGUUGGAACCGAAAUGUACAUUGUCAAGGAAGGAUUUGUGGAAGUUGUCAGUGAGGAUGGUCAAACGAUUUUUGUAACUCUACCGGCAGGCUUUGUAUUUGGAGAACUUUCCAUUCUAAACAUACCUGGAAAUAAAAACAAGAAUUUAAGAACUGCUUCUGUUAGAUCCAAGGGAUAUUCUGAUCUUUAUGUUCUCGAUAAAGAAGAUCUUUGGGAGGCUCUUCAUGAAUAUCCGCAAGCAAAAGAUUCACUGAUUCAAAAAGGAAUUCAAAUUCUCGAGAAGGACAAAAUGAUUGACCCGAAUAUGGUAGAUGACGAGGAUGAAAGUUUUAAUGGGCCUAUUGAAGAUUAUAUGGAACAUUUGGAACAUGAAAUUUUGAAAAUAACAAAGAUGAUUGAUCAAGCAGAGGACAAGAUUCAUAAAUCAAACCAGAAAAUGAAGACACGGCUAUUUGGAAUGGAAAUGGACCUUGUUCACGAGAUAAAGGAAUUGCUGAAAGAAAAUAGUUGGAAGCGAAUUGCAAGAUUUGCGGAUGGAGUUACAGUCUUGUAG